ACGAACGCUGGCGGCAUGCCUAAUACAUGCAAGUCGAGCGGUGCAGCAAUGCAUAGCGGCGGACGGGUGAGUAACGCGUGGGCAACCUGCCUCAAAGAUUGGGAUAACACCCCGAAAGGGGUGCUAAUACCGGGUGUGCUCUACGUGCCGCAUGGCAUAUAGAGGAUAGGAGAAAUCCGUUUUUGAGAUGGGCCCGCGUCUGAUUAGCUAGUUGGUAGGGUAACGGCCUACCAAGGCGACGAUCAGUAGCCG
rnacentral:rRNA from 1 species